GUGUACUGAGUCUUUUGGACUACACAGAGUGAUGUAGUAUUGACUGUGAUGCUGAUCUGAGUUGUCUCAUUCUGUAUUUUUGUGCUUUGUCUUUUGUUACACAGAGUGAAAGAGAUCUUUGGUUUUGCCUUUGCUGACUGCUGAUCUGAUCGUCUCAAGUCUGUGUAAGUGUUCAGUUACAGUUGUCAUCUAGAGGCUGCCCUGAGAACCCAGACUUCCUGUUUCCUGACUGCUGCAGAACAUCCAGCUGAAGAAUCCCCAUCACUUGUCAUCAGAUCACCACACCAUCACAGCUCCUUAUAUUUGCUUUAAAUUUUAAAUAUCUGAAAGAUUUACACAAAGUCUACUUAAAAGCUAAGAGUUUUAUUAUAGCCUGUUGAUUGUUGAGAUUUAUUCUGCAUAUUACUUUACAGGAGUAUAGACCAAUUUGUUAUCCCGUCUGGUUAAAAAAAAAGA